CAUUAACGAAAUUAUUCCAUUUUCUCUCAUUUAAUCCUAAUUCUUCAGUGUGUAUAUAUAUUACUGUUAAUCUCAUCGUUCAUAAAGCUACACAUUUUGAAGAGCUCGGUUUUUCCCUUUCUUUUUCUCUCUUUCACUUUCUCUCUCAAAAUGGUUUCAUCUUCUCUUUGCUUUCUUUUGGUAUUCUUCUUUGUAAGCUGCAGUGAAUUUUUUGCUUCUUCAACAAAUGCAACUACUCUUGAUGGAUUUCUCCCAAAUGGAAAUUUUGAAGAGGGACCAGAUCCAUCAAACAUAAAGCACGCGGUAAUCAAAGGGAAAUACUCUCUUCCAAAGUGGAUAAAAAAGGGCUUGGUUGAGUACAUAUCAGGUGGGCCUCAACCAAGUGGCUUCUUUUUUGCGGUUCCACGUGGCGUCCACGCUAUAAGGCUAGGAAAUGAGGCAUCUGUAUCUCAAUAUGUGAGCGUUAAGAAAGGAUCAUAUUACUCUCUUACCUUCAGUGCAACAAGGACUUGUGCCCUAGAAGAAGUUUUAAGGGUUUCGGCUUCUAAAAUCUCCACAGAUUUACCCAUCCAAACAUUGUAUAGUAGUAAUGGUGGAGAUACGUAUGCUUGGGCUUUUGAGGCCAUGGCUGACAUUGUUAGGGUCACUUUUCAUAACCCUGGUGUGGAAGAAGGUCCUACAUGUGGACCACUUUUGGAUGCAGUUGCAAUUAAAGAGAUGAUGCCAGUUCCUAAACCCAUUGGAAACUUAGUUAAAAAUGGAGACUUCAACUUUGGUCCACAUGUAUUCAAGAAUUUCUCAACAGGAGUCCUUCUCCUUCCACAUCCUCAUGAUUCUGUUUCUCCACUCCUUGGCUGGAUAAUUGAAUCACUAAAACCUGUGAAAUACAUUGACUCAACACACUUCUUUGUUCCCUCAGGAUACUUUGCUAUUGAAUUAGUAGGAGGAAGAGAAAGUGCUAUAUCUCAAAUCAUAAGAACAAUACCAGAAAAAUUCUACCUUCUCACCUUUAAAGUUGGAGAUGCCAAAAAUGGAUGCCAUGGAUCAAUGUUAGUGGAAGCAUUUGCGGCCGAAGAAAAUACUAAAGUUAGCUAUGAUUCUCAAGGAAAGGGUGGUUUCACUUCUGCAAGUCUCAAGUUCCAAGCUAUCUCAACGAGAACUAGAUUAACUUUUUUUGGAGUUCAUUUUAUCAUACUAAAUUUGAUGAUCUUACACAUAUGUGUGGUCCAGUCUUGGAUGAUAUCAGGGUUGUGCCUCUUCAUUAAUUUAAAGAAAAGAAAAAGAGUAUUAUAUAUGUUGAAGUGAUUCAAGAUCAUUUUUAGAUGUGAAGAUUUAUAUGUGAAAUUAUUGGGAAGUAGUAAUUUUAUGUUAUUAAAGAGAUUAAAGAUGGUGUUUUAAGUAAGAUAUAUGUAUCGAAAUUCAAUUCAUCUAAUCAAUUACUAA